GUCGGAGAGAGGACCCACAACAGCCACUGCCUCGAUUUCCACCAGUCCACCCUGAAGACAAAUGUUAGCAGUUACCAGUAAAAAUCAUCAAGGACUACUAACUGAUGGGGAUGGAGUCAGCUGUUAAAGAUUUCCAGACCACGUGACAUGUGAUUUCUGCCCACCUGUCUGGCCUGAGCCUGGACUCCUCCAUCAACCAGCUGACCAGAGGCCACGUCCAUUCCCAGCUGCCCUGAGAUGUACAUGGUUCUGUCCACAACCACCGCCUGGCUGAAGACACAGGAGACACACAGAGUAAAGUUUCCAAUGUCACUAAAUGUAAGUUCACCGUGGAGUCAUGGAAGAUUUUUACUCACAAAGUCAAAGUCUCCGUCCUGAGGAACCUUCCAGUUGUCGGGGAAGACAUUCUUAGACUGGAUGUGGUAGCCCG